AGAAUUUUCUCAACAGAGGUCGACGCCCAAUCCACCUUACACAUGUCUCUUGGUCAUAAGGUAUUUAUCUUCUUCUGUCAAUGUUAUCGCUGCUACCUCUUCCUCUUCUCUAUGCGGAUUCUGUUUUGAUUAGGUUUCAGACAGUUUCUUGAUCAAGAUCCCAGGUACGUGAAUCUUGAAGUUAUCAUUGAUAUUACGUUGUCGUUGAUUCGGUUAGUUUUGUUCCUCCCAGUUUCGUCGACUGGCGCUCGUCUUAAAUAUUUUUGAAUUUCCAACAAUAUUCGCAUGAGUUUUGUCUAUAGUAGUCAGGUGCCAAAUAUGUUUUCAGAUAUUUUCUUGAUCGAAGACAACAGGUUCGUGAAUCUUGGAUCUUUUUUUUGUUCGAAUUUAUCAGUCUAUUGUUUUCUUCUAUUCUAUCAUUGAUAUUGAACAUAUUAAAUUCGGUUAACUUCGUUCCUCCCAAUCUCGUCAACUGGCUCUCCAGUUGGUGCUCCUCUUAAAUAUAUUCUUUAAUCUCUCGCAACAUUCGCUUAAAUUUUGUCAACCGAAGCGGAAGCCCGCUAUGUUGUUAUCUUGCUAUCGCUUUUUCUUUCCUGCUGGUUGUUUUGAUUCCUGUCAUAUGUUUUCUUUAUCUAGACCGCAGGUACGUUAAUUUUUCUUUUUUUUUUUUACCCUUGUCCGGAGUUCUCAUUGUUUUGUUUUGUUUUUAUUAUUGAGACUCCAUGUUGAAUUGUUAGUGGAAUCCUGAUGUUCCACCUCCCAAAAUCCUCUUAAGUUAUCUUUAAUUUCUCACAAAAUUCGCUUGUACUCCCGAAGCUCUUUUCCUCUUUUUGGUUAUCUUUAAGGUCACAACUUCAAGUUUCUCCACAUCUUAAGAGCGGUAUCCGAUUUGGUUCCUAAUAACGAGAUGCAGUCCACUGUUUGUGUUGCAUCAAGAACCCCGCUCUUAGGAAUUGUUAUGACGCUUAAACCCAAGAUUCUCUGGGCUUUAUUCUGGUUCCGGUAGUAUACAAGAUUCCAUCGUUCUUUGGCCGGUUUUCAUACUUAGGGAUCUUCUUUCAUGUGAUUUAUGGUAUCAUAAGUAGAAAUCAGUUGACCGGAUGCUUGACUGUGC
rnacentral:lncRNA from 1 species